AUGUGUCCACACAGCACACACAGCACACAGGCACACACAGGACACAGGCACACACAGCACACACAGGCACACAGCACACACAGCACACACAGGCACACAGCACACAAAGGCACACAGGCACACAGCACACACAGCACACACAGGCACACAGCACACACAGGCACACACAGGCACACAGCACACACAGGCACACACAGGCACACAGCACACACAGCACACACAGGCACACAGCACACACAGGCACACAGGCACACAGCACACACAGGCACACACAGGCACACAGCACACACAGGCACACACAGGCACACAGCACACACAGGCACACACAGGCACACAGCACACACAGGCACACAGGCACACAGCACACACAGGCACAUACAGGCACACAGCACACACAGGCACACACAGGCACACAGCACACACAGGCACACACAGGCACACAGCACACACAGCACACACAGGCACACAGCACACACAGGCACACAGCACACACAGCACACACAGGCACACACAGGCACACAGCACACACAGCACACACAGGCACACACAGCACACACAGGCACACAGCACACACAGGCACACACAGGCACACACAGCACACACAGGCACACAGCACACACAGGCACACACAGGCACACACAGGCACACAGCACACACAGGCACACAGCACACACAGCACACACAGGCACACAUAGGCACACAGCACACACAGCACACACAGGCACACACAGCACACACAGGCACACACAGGCACACAGCACACACAGGCACACAGCACACCCAGGCACAGAGACACACACAGCACCCACAGGCACACAGCACACACAGGCACACAGGCACACACAGCACACACAGGCACGCAGCACACACAGGCACACAGGCACACACAGCACACACAGGCACGCAGCACACACAGGCACACAGGCACACACAGCACACACAGGCACACAGCACACACAGGCACACACAGCACACACAGGCACACAGCACACACAGGCACACAGCACACACAGGCACACACAGGCACACAGCACACACAGGCACAUACAGGCACACAGCACACACAGGCACAUACAGCACACACACAGCACACACAGGCACACAGCACACACAGGCACACACAGGCACACAGCACACAUAGGCACAGAGACACACACAGCACACACAGGCACACAGCACACACAGGCACGCACAGGCACACAGCACACACAGGCACAGAGACACACACAGCACACACAGGCACACACAGCACAUGCACGCAGCUCCCUGUAG
rnacentral:lncRNA from 1 species